GGAACAUACAUGGUACAAAUAUGAAAUCAUUAAAAGUGGGUUUUAAGAAAACAGCUUCUGUCAUUAAGAUCGAGACCUACCUAUUAUUCUAAAUGUUUAAACUUAAUGUGUGUGUGUGUGUGUGCCUUUGAAUGUGUAAAUGCAUAUGUGUGAGUGUGUGUGAAUUCGUAUGUGAGAAUCUAUGUGUGAGAGUGUGGACAUGAGUGUAUGUGAGUGUGGUGUUUAUGAGAGUGAGUGUGUGGGUGUAGGUAUCUGUCUGUCUGUCUGUCUGUUAGAGGAUAAUACUACUUCUACCUCAAGUAGGUUCUGUGGAUUAAACUCACUACAUAGACUUGUCUGCAGGUGCCAGUGUGCUGGCUCGCUGACCCCAAGUGUCUACUUUUAAUGAGCAUGUUAAAAACGAAAUAAAAUUCUCUCACCAUAUUAAUAGUACAUUAAAAGUCUUGUUCAGGGAACCUUUUGCAGUGUGUAUAGGUGACAUUUUCUUCCUAAUGGAAAUAGCGCUAAAGACUUUGGUAUCCUGAUACUCUAGCAAACAGUGGCAAAUAUUGAAGUCAGAGUAGAAUCCAGUUUCUCAGUGAAAUUUGAAUUUAGCGUCUAAUGUCAUAGAGCUUUCUUCAUCUAUAAGUGCAUUCUUGCAAAAGAAAAAAGUCUACAGGCAUGUGAAAGCACACUGAUAAAUUGGAGUUAGGAAUGCAUUCAACUUUGGUACAUAAUAACAUCCUAAACUGAAUAUUAGUAUUUACAUAUGAUCAUGGUAAACCUGCCAUAACGAUUAUUUUCUUUGAUUUAAUUUUUUAUUCAGUUGCCACUGAAAGGCAAAACAUGAUGAACACAUAUGUGUGCUAUGUUCUGGUUUUUCAGUUGUGUGAUGGAAGUGUCUGGAAAACUCUGUUCUGACAUAUUACUAUUUUGUUCUCUUGUCCCUAAGGAGAACUUUAGAUCAGGGUUCUGGACUUUUGUAGCAAAACUGUGAAAAAUAUUGUAAUUUUCAUAAGCUUGUAGGAAUAUUAAAAUCCAUGCAGAGCUUCCAGGACUGUGAUUAUAAAAAUGAUCAAAUCAGUGCAGUUUUCUACAACCUCAGUAUUAGGUUAAAAUUUGCUUUUUUUUCAACUUGUGUAUUUUAGAAGAUUGUUCAUGUCAUUCUAAUUUCCUUAAUUUAGGUUGGCUGCAAGCUCUUCUAGACCUCUGAUAUUCUUUUCAGCGAUUUCACUUUCCCGAUUUGCAUUCUGUACAGUUCAGGGUGAGCUUCCUGUUUGGAAUAGUUAAGGCAUACACUGGUUUUCUACUGCUUUUCUUAGAGUGUAGACUCAAACCAUGAGUGUGAUGUGCAAUUUGUUGCCCAUUAAGUAUGUGACUGAUUCUGUCCUAGUGUAGAACAUUGUCAUGAUUAUGAGAAAAUGUGUGACUCUUUGCAUUACUCUUCCCUAAGUACUUUUGGGAGUAAUUAUUGGACUUUAUUUCCAUUGUCUCAGUGGCAAAUCGAGAUCCUAAUAUUGAAGUCUGUUUUGACUUGUCAAAUUCCAUCAGUAACUAGUAAAUAGAUUUGGUCAUCCUCCAAACUAGUUAGUCUCUUGCCUGGCUAUUAUUGAUACUAUUCUUAGUUUCUGGUGCCACCGUGAGUAUUGGUUUCCUUUGGUAACUCUUACUUUUGGUGUUUCCUAAUCAAUGGAAAACAGCAUUUUUCACUCCCUCAGCUAAGAUUCUAGAUUUUUUUUUAAGUGUUUAUAUCUUUUCCUUUACACUUCUUGCCCUUUUGUGCCCAGGAUAACACAGUCCUGUAUUGCAUAAGUAUUCUGAGUUAAUCCUUUCUGACUUCUACAUUAGUAAAUGAAUUUUUAAGAUGAGGAAUUGAUUAGACAUAAUUUGCAGAUAUAGCAUGAGUUUAAACAGUAAAAAUUAGAGGCCAGAGCAUAACUGGGUCUCCAAAUGAAUGAGCUUCAGCAACUUAAACUUCCUGUUCCUAUACCAUUUGAGUUGAAUUUUGGUAUUCUAGACCAUACUUGAUAUUUAUUGGGUUACUAUUUUUUUGAACAGUUUUCAAUAAAGCCUUGAAAUAAGAAAAUUGGUAAAUAGAAAGCCUGGUCCUUGCUUUAAAAGGCGACUCAUGUGGGAAAGAGAGGUAAAUAAAUACACAUCUUCAUGCCAUCAGCUCGGGAAGUUGAUAAUUAAAUGCACAAUUAGUCUUUUGCAUCCUCUAAUUUAGAAUAAGGUACGUGGCGACAUUUUCAACUAUUAGACAGGUUCGCUACCCAAAAAGUGAAAAGGAUGAUAAAGAUAAUGAUGAUAAAGGCUGUGAUGUGUAGACUGUCUUCUGCACAUUUCCCUACUGUCUCUCCACACUACUUAUCUUAGCUAGUUUGACUCAGUAUACUGCCCAGUAGCAAAAGAAGUUUAAGAGACAAGUAGCUGACUGGCAACCCUCAGGACAAUCACCAGAGGAAGUCAAAAGGGGGCAAAGAGAUCUGAAGAUGACUCUUCCCUUGACCAAUUAGUGGCCAGGAUUUCUGGGUUACUUAUUUCUUCUUUUCCAUCAUUAGAUGGUUUGAUUGGGAGAAGAGAAGAGAUUUUAAUUUUACUCUUGUCAUCCGGUACAAGAAUUCACUCUUUCAAAAUGGAAGUGACAGGUGAAUUUCAUUAAGAUGGAUAAUAGGCAGCCCUGUACAAACUUGCAACUAAUAUCAGCGAGAAGAAAUUUUAACCAAGCUAUUACUUUUUGACCAAUGUUCUAUUACUUGUCUUGACAACCUUGUAUUUAAUGAUGGAGGAUAUAAUAGGUGAGGGGCUUUCAUUUUAGGUUUUCAUUUUAACGUGUGUGUGUGUGUGUGUGAGUGUGUGUGUGUGUGUGUGUGUGUGUGCCUGCAGUUUUUAAGAUCUAGAUUGUACUACAGUGCUACUUUCCUGGUGGAAAAGAAAGUUGAUAACUGUAUGCAUAUUUGCAAUGGACGCAAUCUAGGAAUUAUUAGUGAGAACUGCCAGCUGAUGCUGCUGACACAUGUAUUUUUAACAGGAAGUAUUCUGCUCUGUGUGUUUGUUUGUAAAAACUGCAAUCCUCAUCAGUGAACUACUGAUGCAGCGAAGGUCUUUCUGAGGUCUGGUCGGGCUCAGAGUCCCCAGUUCCAGGAAUUGGUGCAUGUCACUGAGCCCUUCUAACCUGUUCUGGGCCUUUAUUCUGAUUUCUUCUGCACACACUCUUGACGAGCUACGGAGUCCCACAUCUCCAUUUGGCAUGGGCAACUUAUGGAGGCAAGACUACAUGUUUAACUAUUGCAAUGUUUUGGGUGCAUAGCAGAGUGUAUGGAACAAAGGUUGUGAACCAUCAACCUAUCUGCAUGGGACUAGUAUUAUCAUUUGCCAGUAUUAUUACAUUUGCCUGGUGUAAAAGGCAGCUUUAAAGCUUCCCAUUGCAUUUGGUUCCUUUUCUUUGCAGAUUUUUGCGUUGUUUGAUGAUGUCACAUUCCAUGCAUUUGCAUUUUAGUGAGGAGCUAUGUUUUCAUGUUUCAC
rnacentral:lncRNA from 1 species